rnacentral:rRNA from 1 species
UACAGAGGGUGCAAGCGUUAAUCGGAAUUACUGGGCGUAAAGCGCGCGUAGGUGGUUUGUUAAGUUGGAUGUGAAAUCCCCGGGCUCAACCUGGGAACUGCAUUCAAAACUGACAAGCUAGAGUAUGGUAGAGGGUGGUGGAAUUUCCUGUGUAGCGGUGAAAUGCGUAGAUAUAGGAAGGAACACCAGUGGCGAAGGCGGCCACCUGGACUGAUACUGACACUGAGGUGCGAAAGCGUGGGGAGCAAACGGG